AAUGAACGUUGGCGGCGUGGAUUAGGCAUGCAAGUCGUGCGGCAGCAGGCCCCGCAAGGGGCGCUGGCGAGCGGCGAAAGGGAUAGUAAUGUGUGGAUACCUGCCCUGGGGACGGGGAUAGCUGCUGGAAACGGCAAUUAAUACCCGAUGAUGUCUCCGGACCAAAGGUGUGAUUCCGCCCUAGGAGGGGUCCACAUCCUAUUAGCUAGUUGGUGAGGUAACGGCUCACCAAGGCCACGAUGGGUAGCGGGUGUGAGAGCACGACCCGCAUCACUGGGACUGAGACACUGCCCAGACACCUGCGGGUGGCUGCAGUCGAGGAUCUUCGGCAAUGGGCGAAAGCUUGACCGAGCGACGCCGCGUGCGGGAUGAAGGCCUUCGGGUUGUAAACCGCUUUCGGAGGGGAGGAAAUCUAGGGGGGGAUCACCCUUCUAGUUGACCUAUCCUAGGAAGAAGGACGGGCUAAGUUCGUGCCAGCCGCCGCCGUAAAAC
rnacentral:rRNA from 1 species